rnacentral:rRNA from 1 species
GAUGAACGCUAGCGGCAGGCUUAAUACAUGCAAGUCGAGGGGCAGCACGGGUAGCAAUACCUGGUGGCGACCGGCAAACGGGUGCGGAACACGUACGCAACUUUCCCAAAACUGGUGAAUAGCCCUCCGAAAGGAGGAUUAAUACACCGUAACAUAAUGAGGUGGCAUCACUUUAUUAUUAUAGCUCCGGCGGUUUUGGAUGGGCGUGCGCCUGAUUAGGUAGUUGGCGGGGUAACGGCCCACCAAGCCUGCGAUCAGUAACUGGUGUGAGAGCUCGACCAGUCACACGGGCACUGAGACGCGGGCCCGAAUCCUACGGGAGGCAGCAGUAAGGAAUAUUGGUCAAUGGACGCAAGUAUGAACCAGCCAUGCCGCGUGAAGGAUGAAGGCCCUCUGGGUUGUAAACUUCUUUUAUCUGGGACGAAAAAAGAUCAUUCCUGAUCACUUGACGGUACCAGAGGAAUAAGCACCGGCUAACUCCGUGCCAGCCGCCGCAGUAACAC